rnacentral:lncRNA from 1 species
GUUAACUUGGGGUAAGUGAAACCACAGGACGUGAACUGCAGAUAAGGGGGGCUACUGUAUUGUGGCUAUGCAAGAGAACAUUGCGUAGGAAAUAUAUACUGAAGAAUUUGAGAGUAAGAAGCAAUUAUAUGUGUUAUUUAUUCUCAAAUGGUUCAGAAAAUCUACAUAUAUUUAUGUAUGUAUGUGUCUGUGUUUACAGAGGGAAAGAACAAUAAGCAAAUGAAGUAAAAUGUUGGCAGUAGCUCUGAUCUAAGCCUCCCAUUAUGGAGAAUCUUCAGAGGAGCACACGUCUUUGCUGGCUGGCAUAUCAACAUUCAUGAUCCUGGCAUGUGGAAGAAUACUCUGAUUAUUGCCCAAGACAUUAGCAUUAAAAAUUCCUUCUAAGGCAUUUCUUUAUUCUUAAGUAAAUCCUGUUAAGGAAAAAUAGGAAUGUAUAAGCGAUUAAUAAAUUAAGGUGAGUUACUUUCUAAUUUGACAGAAUUGGGAGCUUUUAGCAAAUAAGGACAUUGCCCAGAGAGGAAAAGCAGAUAAUUCAGAGUGCUCAGAAGCUAGAGUUGGCUUUUUAGGGGAACUAACUUAAGAGUAAAGAGACUCCUUUAUGUCUAUUUAUUGUUUAUGAAAUUGAUGUAGAUGUUACUUUAAUAAUUGACUUACAUAACAUUAUUGAUAUUUUUCUACCCUGAUUUUUCAAGUGAUCUGUGUUCUUUAUAUUUUGACUUCUCUAUAAUAUUUUGCACAAAUGAUAAUCAGAAAUCACAAUGUGCUAAGUCUAAAUGAACUUUAGAAAGAGAAUGACAAACAAUUUGAUUCAAGAUUAACAUUAUAAUUGACAUUCUUAAAAAAAUAUUUCAGCAUUACUACAUAAGGAUCAUGUUACUUUUGUAAUUUUUCUAUUGUUAUGUGAUAAAUCAAAGAGGUAAAGAAAAAUAAAGGAUACAAGACAAAUGAUUAGAGUUCAUUGUAAGCUGGGAAGAAAGCAAUUCUUGUUAACUAAGUCAAAUUGAAAGCGAAUACACCUAAGAAAGUGUAAAGAUCACUAUUACAUUUUGU